GAAUUCGCCCUUAGAGUUUGAUCCUGGCUCAGGACGAACGCUGGCGGCGCGCCUAACACAUGCAAGUCGAACGAGCGAGAGGAGGUUUACUUUCUCAAGCGAGUGGCGAACGGGUGAGUAACGCGUGAGGAACCUGCCUCAAAGAGGGGGACAACAGUUGGAAACGACUGCUAAUACCGCAUAAGCCCACGACCCGGCAUCGGGUAGAGGGAAAAGGAGCAAUCCGCUUUGAGAUGGCCUCGCGUCCGAUUAGCUAGUUGGUGAGGUAAUGGCCCACCAAGGCGACGAUCGGUAGCCGGACUGAGAGGUUGAACGGCCACAUUGGGACUGAGACACGGCCCAGACUCCUACGGGAGGCAGCAGUGGGGAAUAUUGCACAAUGGGGGAAACCCUGAUGCAGCGACGCCGCGUGGAGGAAGAAGGUCUUCGGAUUGUAAACUCCUGUUGUUGAGGAAGAUAAUGACGGUACUCAACAAGGAAGUGACGGCUAACUACGUGCCAGCAGCCGCGGUAAAACGUAGGUCACAAGCGUUAUCCGGAUUUACUGGGUGUAAAGGGAGCGUAGACGGUGUGGCAAGUCUGAUGUGAAAGGCAUGGGCUCAACCUGUGGACUGCGUUGGAAACUGUCAUACUUGAGUGCCGGAGGGGUAAGCGGAAUUCCUAGUGUAGCGGUGAAAUGCGUAGAUAUUAGGAGGAACACCAGUGGCGAAGGCGGCUUACUGGACGGUAACUGACGUUGAGGCUCGAAAGCGUGGGUAGCAAACAGGAUUAGAUACCCUGGUAGUCCACACUGUAAACGAUG
rnacentral:rRNA from 1 species